AUAAAUCGCCACAGUUUCGAGCUGACUUUACCUCGAUUCCUCCUAUCAGACGGGUUGAUUGAUCCAUAGGAUUCUUCUGCCCGUCGAUGAAUCGGGGGAACUUUACUGCAAGCUUAGGAUCUGUUCUAUGAAUCAGAGCAAUUUUAUGGAUUUUGCUCUUUCCUCAAUGAUGUUGGGAGGUGGUUUUGACAAAGCUUGCAUCUCUUAGCUUUGCAGUUCUAGCUUUCAUCUUCUUCACCAAAAAUCUGUCAGGAAGAACCCCGAUCUUCCAAUCUCUGUUCCUAAAUCAUCAGAUGGCACCGGAAAGCUGCAAUCUCGGCAAAGACGAGGCGGAGAUUCUUAAUCCCUCUUCUCCACAGCCAUCAAACACUUCUCUCUCAUCUGCAUCAUCUCAGUCAAUACCACAACAAUCUCCGUCUUGCCUGUUACUGGAACCUCUGGAUGCUGUUCAAUCUCAAAGGACAGAGAGACCUGAAAGUUCAGCAGCUGUUGCCAUCGAGUUAGCUUCCCUGCCGAAGCUGGAGGAAGAAUCUCAGCCUCUAGUUCAGUUUGGUAACCGUUGCUCGACUUGCCGGAAAAGGAUUGCUCUCUCUGGUUUCCGGUGCCGGUGCGGUGACCUAUUUUGCUCCCGCCAUCGAUAUUCCGACAGGCAUGAUUGUUCUUUUGAUUACAAGGCUGCAGGGAGGGAGGAGAUCUCUAAGGCCAACCCACUCAUAAGAGCUGCUAAGAUCAUCAAGAUCUAAGCUCGGAUAUGGUAAAUUUGAAGAUCAGCCAGGAAGUGAAACUGCAUUUUCAAAUCCUGUAAAGUUACAUUCCAGCUAACGAAUAGAUGGAUUUGCUAAGGAAAGUUUUGAAGCUGCGUCAGGGGAAUGCGAAUAUUUAUUGCUUAAAUUGGAUUCUCUGCCUUACUAGAUGCUUGAUUUGUCCAAUCCAUCCAUUUUAAAACUAUUAUAUGUAUUUCAGAUUGUUAUUCUUUAGUAAUUGUUGUGUCUGAAGUUCAGCUUCA